rnacentral:rRNA from 1 species
GAGCGUUCUGUAAGCCUGUGAAGGUGUGCUGUGAGGCAUGCUGGAGGUAUCAGAAGUGCGAAUGCUGACAUAAGUAACGAUAAAGCGGGUGAAAAGCCCGCUCGCCGGAAGACCAAGGGUUCCUGUCCAACGUUAAUCGGGGCAGGGUGAGUCGACCCCUAAGGCGAGGCCGAAAGGCGUAGUCGAUGGGAAACAGGUUAAUAUUCCUGUACUUGGUGUUACUGCGAAGGGGGGACGGAGAAGGCUAUGUUGGCCGGGCGACGGUUGUCCCGGUUUAAGCGUGUAGGCUGGUUUUCCAGGCAAAUCCGGAAAAUCAAGGCUGAGGCGUGAUGACGAGGCACUACGGUGCUGAAGCAACAAAUGCCCUGCUUCCAGGAAAAGCCUCUAAGCAUCAGGUAACAUCAAAUCGUACCCCAAACCGACACAGGUGGUCAGGUAGAGAAUACCAAGGCGCUUGAGAGAACUCGGGUGAAGGAACUAGGCAAAAUGGUGCCGUAACUUCGGGAGAAGGCACGCUGAUAUGUAGGUGAAGUCCCUCGCGGAUGGAGCUGAAAUCAGUCGAAGAUACCAGCUGGCUGCAACUGUUUAUUAAAAACACAGCACUGUGC